UAUUUAAGGUUUGGUCUGCUCAAUGAGGAUUUAAAUUGCCGCGGUAUCUUGACCGUGCAAAGGUAGCAUAAUAAUUAGUUUUUUUAUUGAAAGCUGGAAUGAAGGAUUGGACGAGAAAAAAGCUGUCUCUAUGGGAUUUAUUUUUUAAUUUAACUUCUGAGUUAAAAGGCUUAGAUUUUAUUCAAAGACGAGAAGACCCUAUAGAGUUUUAUAGUUUCAGGAAUUAUAGGUUUUUGGUUAUUUAAUUUUUUUAAUUUUUGGAUAUUAUUUAGUUGGGGUGACUUGAAGAUUAGAGAAACUCUUCAUUUUUUAAUCAUUGAUUUAUGAAUAAAUAAUCUAGUUUUAUUAAAUUUAAAAUAAAUUACCUUAGGGAUAACAGCGUAAUUUCCUUUUAGAGUUCUUAUUGGAAGGGAAGUUUGCGACCUCGAUGUUGGAUUAAAAUUAAUUUUUGGUGCAGAAGCUUGAGAAUUGGGUCUGUUCGACCUUUAAAAUUUUACAUGAUCUGAGU
rnacentral:rRNA from 1 species